CCGAGCGGCAGACGCCGGGCCGGCAUGGCGUGGCCCUGCAUCAGCCGCCUCUGCUGCCUGGCGCGGCGCUGGAACCAGCUGGACCGCUCCGACGUGGCCGUGCCGCUGACCCUGCACAACUACUCGGACCUCGAGAGCGAGGAGCCAAUCCCGGGCGUUGCUCCCUCGCGCAGAGGCCCCUCUCCCACAGGCGCCCGGGACCCUGGCCGGGACGUGCCGCUCACUCAGUACCAGCGGGACUUCGGCGUGUGGACGGCGCCCGCGGGGUCCAGAGAUGCAACGCAGGGGCGCGGACAGGGAGCAAGCAGCCGCAGGGCCAGGCCCCCCGCACCCCACUGCCGGGGGGUCUACGUGCUCCCCAUCGGCGACGCGGAUGCGGCUGCAGUGGCGACCACAUCGUACAGACAGGAAUUCCAGGCCUGGACUGGAGUGAAGCCAUCAAGAUCCACGAAAGUGAAGCCCGCCAAAGUCAUCACAACCCACAGCUCUGGAUGGGACGGCAGCCCCAGGGCCGGUUUCCAGGCCCCUGAGGUGAGGAAAAAGUUUGCCCCUAACCCCUCAGCCAUCUUUCAGGCCUCGGCUUCCCGGAUCCUCAACGUGUGACUGCCCACGGAAGAGUGAGCCACGGGGAUCAGGACCCACCCCCGGGACUGUGGGAGCUCACUAGCUGCUGAGGAACCAGCUCAUUUUGGUUUUGGAAGUCCCUCUGCUGACUUUAUCGAUAAAGUCCAGCCGGUGCAGCCACCUGGAAACAGCCUGGUUCUCCUCUUUGCAAGCAGCCCUUGAAACGUUUGUGUCCUUUUAGAGAUUACAGGCACAGCCUAAGGACAGUUUUGGUAAGAAAACUCAAGGAUUUCCCUUUGGAUUUUUAUCCCUCUCCAGCUCCCAAGUGACAGCCUCAUGAGCCUUUACUUUUGCCACA